AGCUCUUUAUCAGCCCCCCCCGGCCCCGGGGCCGCUGCAGCGCUCGGGUCUGUUUCUCCCCCGGCCCGCCCUUCUCCGGUGUCCUCAGCCGGCCCGGCCCGGCCGCAAGUAAUUAAACUGCGCAGGGAAACGUUCAAGGUGACCUCGGCGUUGUCGUAGUGGGAGCUGAGGUCCAGGUCCUGGUGCAGGGCGUACUUGACGGCGAAGGCUCUGUGGCUGUCCAGGCAGGCGCCGCCCAGCUCCGGGUACAGCAGCGCCGUCAGCGGCCGCAGCCGCUCCCGCAGCGGCGUCAGGAGCCGCUCGUCCAUGCCCAGCUCGCUGAGCAGAACCUGCGCCAGCACAGCGCGGGGAGCAGCUCAGCUCAGCUCAGCAGCUCCUCAGAGCUCUGCCCUCCUCCUGCCCCAGCCCCAGGGCUUUGGGGCAAAGGGAAAAGGAAGGAGGAUCAAGGUGGACAGGGAUGAGGGGAACACAGAGUAAUAAGAUUAAAAGCACUUGGAGAUGAUGGCUCUGCGUUCCACUGACUGCUGGGGUAGCUGUUUCCUCCUCUGCACUUCUGCCUCAAUCUGCAAGUGAACAACAGAGCACACUGUCAGAAAUCAGCAGGGCUGAGGGAAACAGCUCCAGGAAUCUGCUCCUUGUUUCAAUCCAGUUAUUUGUGUUUGGGGGCACCGCUGGGACACAAAGUGUUUGGCUUAAAAAGUGACUGAGGACUUUCCUGUGGAAGUGUCAAGUGGAGCUGUGAGCUCUCAGCCCUUUCAGGCAUUCUGACACCUCCAGAAUCUGGUUUUUGUUCUGACAAUAGAGGCAUUGUCCAAAAUAAAGACAUUUGCUGGGAGUGAGACAAGUGCUGUCAUGAAGGGAUUACUGCUAAGUGUGGUGCAGACAGGCUGAGCUGCCCUUCCAGAGCAAACAGCUGAUCCAGGCAGCUCCUCCCAUUGUUCACUUCCCCCUCACAGAUUCAUUUGCAGCAGUCCUCACCGAGGAGAGAGUGAGCAGCCAUUCCCUGAGACCAGGCAGCUCCUGUGCUCAUUCCCUUUCCCUCAGUCCCUGAAGGUCUUGGGAACCAAGCAGAAAAAUCAGAUUUCUCUGUGCCCUCCCCCAGGCAGGGACAGCCACUGUCAUCUGCUUCCUGCCAGCACUGAGUGACUCCUAUUGGUUUGUGUAAUUUCUAAGUCUCCUUUAUGCUGUUUAUAUUGGUACAGCAAAUUUGUAUGAAGGUCUGAGCAGAUCUGCAGAGAGCCCAGGUGAUUAAAAAGUGCUUAGAACCGAGGUGAUAAUAAAUUACAGCCAAAGUUAGGAUCUUGUUUUAUAAAUUCUGGAUCACAUUGCUUGUUGUGCUCCAUUGAUUCUGCCUGAGGAAAUCCUGUGCUGUUCUACUCAUAAAUUCUCUGCUGUAUGAAUCAUAAUUAUCCAGUUAAUAAAGCUUUAAUUACA